UGGCUCAGGACGAACGCUGGCGGCGUGCCUAACACAUGCAAGUCGAGCGAGGAGAUCCUCGGGAUGAUCCUAGCGGCGGACGGGUGAGUAACACGUGGGCAACCUGCCUCAUAGAGAGGAAUAGCCUUCCGAAAGGGAGAUUAAUACCUCAUAACAUUGCAGUUUCGCAUGGAACAGCAAUUAAAGGAGUAAUCCGCUAUGAGAUGGGCCCGCGGCGCAUUAGCUAGUUGGUGAGGUAACGGCUCACCAAGGCGACGAUGCGUAGCCGACCUGAGAGGGUGAUCGGCCACAUUGGGACUGAGACACGGCCCAGACUCCUACGGGAGGCAGCAGUGGGGAAUAUUGCACAAUGGGGGAAACCCUGAUGCAAGCAACGCCGCGUGAGUGAUGACGGCCUUCGGGUUGUAAAGCUCUGUCUUCAGGGACGAUAAUGACGGUACCUGAGGAGGAAGCCAUGGCUAACUACGUGCCAGCCGCCGC
rnacentral:rRNA from 1 species